rnacentral:rRNA from 1 species
AUGGUCAUGGAGUCCGAGCCACAGCCUGGUAAUGGUCAUGAACCUCAAAAUACCGCAAGUCAGCAACAACAUCAGUAUGAUGACCAAACACUGAGUAGUGCUGAUGGAGCAGAGUUUCUAUGGAAGCUAAGGAAGUACUUGAUCCUGCUGGCAACUUUAUCAGCCACUAUCACCUACCAGGCGGGGCUGGCUCCACCAGGUGGUCUCUGGCCAGAUAGCCAGCAAGGCCACCUUGCCAGUGACAUUGUCAUGCUACAUAGCUAUGUCAAGCGGUACAAGGUGUUCUUCUACUGCAACGCAACAGCGUUCAUGGCAUCACUCAUUGUUCUGAUCCUGCUCCUGGUCAGGGAGCUGAGCCGGAAUGCAAUUUGGCUCCGCUCGUUGCAGUUUGCAAUGUUGGUUGACCUGCUGGGACUUAUGGGGGGCUACGCUGCUGGGAGCUGCAGGGAGGUCAGAACAUCCGUUUACAUUUGGGUAUUACUUGCUGGCAUCUUCACAUAUGUUGCACUUCAUGUAGUGUUCUUCCGGCAUCUAGCGCCUGAAUGGCUCCGAGACAUAUUCAGGAAUAUCCAGAGGUUCUGGGAGGAUUCUAUAGCACAAAUUUUCAGCAGAAGUCACAACAUCGGAGAUGAACCAGAUGCUCCUCUCCAUGAUAAAGUGGAGGCACUGGAGCAGAAUCGCAGUUUCUUGCUGGUUGCUGCUACAUUGGCAGCAGCAGUGACAUAUACUGCAGGGCUAAGUCCACCAGGUGGCUUCUGGCCCGACAACAAGGGCGGCCACAUUGCCGGCGACCCGGUGCUUCGAGAUCACUACCCCCGCCGCUUCAAGGUAUUUAUGGCCUGCAAUUCGACUGCCUUUUCUGGAUCACUUGUCAUCAUCAUCAUGCUCCUCAGCAAAACGGGAGUGAAUCACAUUGCCAAGUCAAAUGUACUUCGGUUGUGGGUUCUGAUCAGCCUGCUUGGCCUUAUGGCUGCUUAUGCUGCAGGGAGUUGCAGGGAAGUCCGUACGUCUAUCUUUGUGUUCUCGCUUGUCGGCGCGGUCCUGCUCUACCUCAUCAUUCAAUGGGUUGCUCCUAUGGUGCCCAAGCCAGAAUUUAUCAGGGAGUGGAUCAAGUGGAUGGAAGGAGAGCAGAAUAAGCUGAUCUUGAAGCUAAACUCCUUUAUGGAUAGUUGCAGCACAUCCAAUGGGCAGGUGACACCAUUAGAGUAUGAUGGGCAACAUUCAUACAACAAUGAUGCAUCAAACACUGUUAGUAUUGUGAAAGAUGACUUAGGGAAGUUGCGCACAUACCUUUUAUUGCUUGGCAUCCUUGCUGCGACUAUUACAUACCAAGCUGGGUUGCAUCCCCCGGGCGGGUUUUGGCCAGACAGUCGAGAUGGGCAUCUUGCUGGAGAUCCAAUCCUAGAGGCCAUCCAUCCCAUGCGGUACAAGACAUUCUUCUACUGCAACGCCACUGCAUUUGUGGCAUCAUUGGUUAUCAUCACUCUACUCCAGAGCCAGUUGAUCACCAUAGGUGCCAUGAAACGAUAUGUGUUGCAGACAGCCAUGGUUUUUGACCUCUUCAGUAUAAUGGGGGCAUAUGCUGUUGGCAGCAGCUUAUCCCCAUCAAUAUAUGUGAUAAUCCUGGUCAUCCUUGUUUUCUCUUAUGUUGUGCUUCAUAUUGUUCUAUUUGUGGUCGCAAGAGUUCCUGAUGAAACAGCUCAGCAGCAAGAUGAUAACCCUGAAGUGAAAGAUUUGGAGAAGCGGCGCAAGUUUCUAAUGCUGCUUGCAAUUCUGGCAGCAUCCAGCACAUACCAAGCCGGCAUAAGCCCACCAGGUGGUUUCUGGGCUGACAACAGAGAUGGCCACGAGGCAGGUCACCAUUAUUCAGUGAUGAGUUUCCACGCCGUUACCAGGCUUUCAUCUACUUGA